GCGCUCUGCUGGCCUGGCCUUUCCAGCAUCAUCCACAAAACUAGGGCCAAGGGACAUGAGAUUCCUGAGCCCUUGAAGGUCCUGGGAAAGCAGAGAGUCAACAUGGAAGAACCUGUUGUCCUUCCAUACUGAAGAACUUCAAGACGAACGAGAGAACAUUUUUGCAUAUAAUUCUUUUCUUUACACAAAAUAUGCCACAGGAGCAGCAAAUCCAUGAGCAGAUGGGCAAUCCUGCCUGACCCAGCUUUUGUGGGGGAGAGAGCAUCACAGAGACCAUGGAAGGAGAGUGGAAAGAG